GUAUUUUAACCUACGAACGUGCAGUGUACACAUGUAGCGAAGGAUGCCUUCGUGAAUUGAUCGCUAUAUAAACUGUGUGGAGAACCGCAAAACCCGAUAGUGUUCGACUUCAUCGAUUCAACGUACUGGACUCACUGUUAAUUGAAUUUCCAUAUCGACGAUCUCGAUGUUUGCAUUUCUCUAAUCCGAUUGAGCUGAUCUGCUUAAAAGUUUUGAUAAAGAUGGAGAAGUAGUAAAGCAAUUCUGCACUUCAAGACGAUCAUUUAAAUAGGAUAAGAAAACUUCCUUUAUUAACAAUUUCUUAGGUGUUGGGUUAAGUUAUGGAAACCGUACAAUCUGUGUACACACUGUGUGAUUUGAAGGAAUGGAAAAAGUAGUGAAAACUUUUGUUCACAUGUGCGCACAAUUUACAUUUUCUGGUGAAAGACAUUUAUUUUAACGUCUAGAAAAAUGGGAGCCAGCCAGUGUCGACAGGAGUCGAUGCCAUCACCACUACGUAAACUUUCUAGAGUAAUUCAACCGUGUAAGAAGGCAAUACAACCUGUACUUACAGAAGAACAACAAGAGUUAUUACAGACCUCGUGGAAAAUUAUCAAAGACGAUAUUGCUAAUGUUGGAAUAUUUACUUUCAUAGCGUUAUUUGAGAACCAUCCAGAUAUUAAACAUACCUUCGUGUCUUUUCGUGGUCUCCAGCCAUCCGAACUCAAUAACAGCUCUAUAUUGAGAGCACAUGCUAUGCGUCUGAUGACGUCAGUAGAUAAGUGCCUCUCUAGAUUUGAUAAUAUGGAAAAGAUGGAAGAAAUGAUGAAAUCCCUUGGAGAAAGGCAUGCUACUAAUUACCAAGUUUGUCCAGAACACCUCGAUUUGAUGGCUCCACAUUUUAAUUAUGCAAUAAAAAAUAAUCUGAAAAAUCAAUGGACCCCGGAACUGGAAAAAGCCUGGGACACAUUAUUCAAGCUGAUGACCUACUACAUGAAAGAAGGAAUGACGUGAAAUCUACACUUUCCUCCGAAAUUGUAUGAGAAUCUGACAAAAUUAGAGAAUUGUAGCCAUUGCAUUCAGAGGCAGCGAAGCUUGAUAUUUAUUUUUUCAAAUUUUAUAUAGGCUAAAUGCUACCCAAUUCUUUAGAUGUCAAAUUGACAGAUCUGCUGUGAAAUAUUAGACAAAUGCAUAUGUGAAGUGUCUUUGUGUAAUUUUGCUAAAUAUCAACUCGAAAAUAAUUGUAGACACAUUUUCAAGCAAAUAAUAUUGAGUUGUUUCCCUUUUAAUGGAAAUCGAAAUACAGAGGCCUUCCCGUAAAUUGUGCGCUAGUCGCCUGCUAGCGGGCUUUAGAUUAUGCAGUUCUAAAGAUAUUUGUUUUUUUUGAUAGAUCUUAAUCUUUUGAAAUUCUGAUAUUGGAUUGGAUUUAGAUAUGAAAUAUAUGUUGUUCUGUUAUAUCAGUGGUAUAUUCGAUUCAGGUUAAUAAAAUAUCAUACUAUUGAAAAUGUA